GGAGAUGUAGUCUAGUGGUUAUGACGCUUGCCUGUCACGCAAGAGAUCGCGGGUUCAAUCCCCGUCAUCUCCGCCA
rnacentral:tRNA from 2 species